GGCGGCGUUCCACCCGCCAGGAACGUUUAUGACAUCGAGCCGACCGUCAGAGCCGGCGCCGCGCUGCUGCCCGGUUUCCCUCAGACCCCGUACGACCUGCCCAGGAACAGCCACAUCCCGAGCCACUACGACCUGCUGCCGGUCCGGCCCAGCCCGACCCGCAGCAUCACCCCGCCGCUGCCGGCAGCCCCACCAGCUCGCUGCUCUGAGCCCAGCGCCCUCACUGGGACGCUCCCAGUUCCACCAGUUUAUGUCUUCGUCACUGUGUUUGAGCGUCGCAGCGUCUGAACUUGAUGAACAGAACUUCCCGCAGAGGGAAACGUGACGGAUCCGUCCAGAACGCAGAUGGAUCCGUUGUUCAAAGGAACUGAAGAACUGAAAGUUCCUGAACCGUUUCUCAGACAGGAAACUCGACUCCUGACCAUGAAACCUCUUUGGGAACAUUUCUGCUAUUUUUACACAGUUUCUUAUUUCCUGCUCACAUUCAGAGAUCCAGGAGGAAUCAAAGUUUCUCUUUUCUAUGUUCUAGAUAUAUCUGUUCUAGAUAUGGACUUCUGGAUAUUGUUGUGCUUUUCCCAUAUUGUGUUGAGCUUUAUUCUCCUGCAUGCCAAAGAAAGAUAGAAAAACAUUCAGAAAAGCCCGAUAGUUUUUUACUGAUGUUUUAGUUAAUAAUCACCAUGUGACUCAGCGUAGAAACACCUCCGACCUGCAGGCGGCGCUGCAGAGAAAACCCCUCCAGUUUCCCUCCUUCGUUUCCAGAAAACGCUUCGCUCUUUUCAGACUGAUGAAACCGGCCCUCUAGCGCCACCGUCAGGUUACAGCCACACACCUGGAUCUGAUCUACUGUUAACGGCUUUGGAUCAGAACUCUGCAGAAUUUCCCAGGAGGACGUCAGGUCAAAGGUCAAGGUUCAAACCGUUCCUUCAGGUCAGGAGAGGAACAGAAACGCUGUAAAGACAAAGAUGAACAGAAAUAAUUUGGAUGAUUCAGCCAAAAAUGUGGAGUUAUAAAAUAUAUUUUCAUAAAAUUAUUUAUUAAUUUCAAAGCAGUUUCAAGUCAUUUAGAUUCAACUUAAAGACUUAGCUUCCAAACAAAAAUAUUGGAAGCUAACUAUGUUUAUUAUUUAGCCACAACUAAAUAUGUAGUUGGAAGCUAAAUAUUUAAAUUGAAGCUAAAUAUUUAGCUACUUAUAAAUUAAUGCAUAACAUGAUGAAAAUCUAAAAUGAGGCGUCAUUUUUUCUUUUAUUAGAGGCUAAAUAACCCAAAUUAUUGCUGUUAACCUUUGACUGAACAGAUCCGGUGGGUGAUCCGGUUGUUGAUCCGGUCGGAUGGAGCAGUCAGCGCUCCGUCUGAACUCACUUCUGGCCGUUAAGAGAUGGGAGAAUGAAAUCCUGAAUCCACCUGAUGAGUUUUCCCACAUAAACUUUCUCCCUCUGUCUCAUCCCAGACAAAUGGAGAAACAUUUUUCCAGUUUCACUUUCCUGGCUGUGGAGGCAGCAGCUGUUAACUCCAGACGUCUCCCUGUGAACAUUUUCUUUUUGCUGUGUGUUUGAGAGGGUGAACAUUUCCUCAUGCAUAGAUAACAUGCAUACAGAUUUCCAUACUUACAACUUGUGUCUUUCCUGUUGAUUUACCUCAAAACUGAUUUACCCUGCAGAUCAGCCUAAACUCAGGCUGGUUUGUUAAAACGCUUUAUGUCUAAAUAGUGAACAGACAAAUGUUUUCCAAACCUUCGUGAUUGAUUUUUAUCUCUGGCUCGCUCAGCAGUCAGUUGAUUGUAACAUCUAUGAACAAAAGAGCAAAAAACGUGGUCGAGUGCAAACGAAGGAACCCGAGGACUCGGCCUUGAGGCGUCCCAAAACUAAUCAUCAGUUUAUCUGAGGAAAGGUGCAGAAGUUUACAUUUUAAUUUCAGCCGCGGCAAUAACAGAACAUGACAAUCAGAUGUAAAACGGCAAAUUUUGUGUUUUGAUUCCUUUUUUAAAAUAAUUUCCUGUUCAUCUCUGACAGAAAUGUUUGACUAGAUGUACCGACUGCUUUCUUUUCCCCACUUCCUGAAUAAAGUCAUCCUGACCCAGA